rnacentral:rRNA from 1 species
CACGUAGGGUGCGAGCGUUAAUCGGAAUUACUGGGCGUAAAGCGUGCGCAGGCGGUGAUGUAAGACAGGUGUGAAAUCCCCGGGCUUAACCUGGGAACUGCAUUUGUGACUGCAUCGCUGGAGUGCGGCAGAGGGGGAUGGAAUUCCGCGUGUAGCAGUGAAAUGCGUAGAUAUGCGGAGGAACACCGAUGGCGAAGGCAAUCCCCUGGGCCUGCACUGACGCUCAUGCACGAAAGCGUGGGGAGCAAACAGG